UCGGGAAUUUUGGGCAAUGGGCGAAAGCCUGACCCAGCAACGCCGCGUGAGGGAUGAAGUAUUUCGGUAUGUAAACCUCGAAAGAAUGGGAAGAAUAAAUGACGGUACCAUUUAUAAGCUCCGGCUAACUACGUGCCAGCAGCCGCGGUAAUACGUAGGGAGCAAGCGUUGUUCGGAUUUACUGGGCGUAAAGGGCGCGUAGGCGGCGCGGUAAGUCACUUGUGAAAUCUCUGAGCUUAACUCAGAACGGCCAAGUGAUACUGCUGUGCUAGAGGGCGGAAGAGGCAACCGGAAUUCUUGGUGUAGCGGUGAAAUGCGUAGAUAUCAAGAGGAACUCCAGAGGCGAAGGCGGGUUGCUGGGCCGACACUGACGCUGAUGCGCGAAAGCCAGGGGAGCAAACG
rnacentral:rRNA from 1 species